rnacentral:lncRNA from 1 species
UAGGGUGUCUUGGAUAUUACGCUUGACCCCGCGACGCCAGUGAUCGUAAAACUGGGACAUUGUGGGCUCGAAAUGAAUGCGGAACGCCGUGGCUCCGGACAUGCUCCAUUUUAUAUCCGCUACCAGUGAAUGUCAUCAUUAUCACGCUAUUCCUCGAUCCGCUAAUAACGCAUGGAGACGAUUAUUGUUAAGUGUAAUUGGAUUAAUUACGGACUACUACCGCUGUGAAGACUAUCCAGAGCUAGGAAACACUCAGUAGCGAGUAAUAGCGUUUGUUGGGAGUGGAUUGACAGGCGAGGCAGCAGCUGUAAGGAGAAUUUAAUUCGGACAUCGUGACUAAACUGGCCUGACGAAGCUUUCUAAUGUAGUCGAAGAACGCGAGACUGCCUCUGCCCGCCAGGGCUUCUGAAACUGGCCCCUCUUAAAGUAGCAAUCGACCCUCGAUAAAUCUCCGCCAAUCGGCUGGAAACGUCACACUGGUAUUAAGGCGAUUCUACGGAGGAUUACGCGUCAUUACGUGAAUCACGCUGAUCCAACGAAACACCUAAUAAACGAAUCCAACCACUCCUCCUAAGUACGAUCGCGUAUUUCGUGUCACGAAACGUUUCUAGUUUCGUAUACAUGAUUUCAUCGUCCGUGAUAAUUGACAUGGACGAGAAUAAUCCAGGGGGAGUCGCUUCGCGGAAUUGGAAAUGGAAAUCGAACGACCCUUUUAAACUGAUACAAUCAUCGCUUGAACAUACAGAUAUAGAAAGAGAAAAUGUUGAAUGUGACGAAAAGAUUCGUUAAAGCUGAAAUAAUGACCGAUGGAGCGUCACUCGAGUAUACGAAUUUAGUUUUCCUUUUAAAGAUUAAACAUAGAAAAGGUGGCAACAAAUAUAUAAAAUAAAAGGUUCGUGAAAACUGGAGUGACGACAAGACCAUGAAAUGCGAAGAAUCAAGAUAGCGGAGCAAACAGAGGGAAGGAUUAAGAGGAGUGCUUGCGAGGUAAACAAACCACUUGGGAACCACUUUCUGGUCUGUGAGAAAUUCAAAGAGCCCUGCAAACAGAAAACCACCCCAACGUCACCCUCUUGUGUCAUAAAACGCUGUUGUCACACCGACUGGAACUUGAAAUCUCGUUGGAUCUACCUGUUUCAUUGUAAAGCUUCCCUAACAAAGACCGCUAUUAUAUAAUAAACGAGGAAAUUGCACGUAUAUAA